UACAGAGACUGCAAGCGUUAUUCAGAUUCACUGGGCGUAAAGGGUGCGCAGGCGGCCAAGUGUGUGAGGCGUGAAAGCCCGAUGCUUAACAUCGGAAUUGCACCUCAAACUACAUGGCUAGAGCAUUGGAGAGGGUAGCGGAAUUCACGGUGUAGCAGUGAAAUGCGUAGAUAUCGUGAGGAACACCAGAGGCGAAGGCGGCUACCUGGACAAUUGCUGACGCUCAGGCACGAAAGCGUGGGGAGCAAAAGGG
rnacentral:rRNA from 1 species